AGUCGUACGAGUGUACACCAGAGCUUGCUCUGUGGGAUCAGUGGCGAACGGGUGAGUAACACGUGAGCAACCUACCCCUGACUCUGGGAUAAGCGCUGGAAACGGCGUCUAAUACUGGAUACGAGUGGCGACCGCAUGGUCAGCUACUGGAAAGAUUUAUUGGUUGGGGAUGGGCUCGCGGCCUAUCAGCUUGUUGGUGAGGUAAUGGCUCACCAAGGCGUCGACGGGUAGCCGGCCUGAGAGGGUGACCGGCCACACUGGGACUGAGACACGGCCCAGACUCCUACGGGAGGCAGCAGUGGGGAAUAUUGCACAAUGGGCGCAAGCCUGAUGCAGCAACGCCGCGUGAGGGAUGACGGCCUUCGGGUUGUAAACCUCUUUUAGCAGGGAAGAAGCGAAAGUGACGGUACCUGCAGAAAAAGCGCCGGCUAACUACGUGCCAGCAGCCGCGGUAAUACGUAGGGCGCAAGCGUUAUCCGGAAUUAUUGGGCGUAAAGAGCUCGUAGGCGGUUUGUCGCGUCUGCUGUGAAAUCCGGAGGCUCAACCUCCGGCCUGCAGUGGGUACGGGCAGACUAGAGUGCGGUAGGGGAGAUUGGAAUUCCUGGUGUAGCGGUGGAAUGCGCAGAUAUCAGGAGGAACACCGAUGGCGAAGGCAGAUCUCUGGGCCGUAACUGACGCUGAGGAGCGAAAGGGUGGGGAGCAAACA
rnacentral:rRNA from 1 species